UGGGGAAUAUUGCACAAUGGGCGCAAGCCUGAUGCAGCCAUGCCGCGUGUAUGAAGAAGGCCUUCGGGUUGUAAAGUACUUUCAGCGAGGAGGAAGGCGGUAAGGUUAAUAACCUUAUCGAUUGACGUUACUCGCAGAAGAAGCACCGGCUAACUCCGUGCCAGCAGCCGCGGUAAUACGGAGGGUGCAAGCGGUAAUCGGAAUUACUGGGCGUAAAGCGCACGCAGGCGGUCUGUCACGUCGGAUGUGAAAUCCCCGGGCUCAACCUGGGAACUGCAUUCGAAACUGGCAGGCUAGAGUCUUGUAGAGGGGGGUAGAAUUCCAGGUGUAGCGGUGAAAUGCGUAGAGAUCUGGAGGAAUACCGGUGGCGAAGGCGGCCCCCUGGACAAAGACUGACGCUCAGGUGCGAAAGCGUGGGGAGCAAACA
rnacentral:rRNA from 1 species